CGCAAUACAAUACACACACACACACACACUGAUUAUUAUUAUACAUACAUAAAUGCACCCAUCCGCAUGUUUGUAUAUCUGUGUAAGUUUAUAUGUUCUUAUAUAUAUAUAUAUCUGUGAAAUUCUAUGUUUAAUAUUGCUUAUGUUCCAAUAAAGGGGCCGCCUGAUAACAAGUUUUAGCCCCCAAAUUAAGUGGAUGGUUUAUCGUAUGCUUGUGGUUUUGACCACCACUGAUAAUUAAAUGGAAAUUUUCCAUGGAUAUAAAAGUCAAAUCUGUUUUGAUAAUCAUGCAACAUAUGAAUGUCACUUGAAAAUUAUACAGUAUCCAAUUAAUUUUCCUAUAUGAUAUUAUUCCUUCUAGUUAUAAUUGCGUUUGCUGCAUGGUUAUAAUCUUACCCUAUAGGACUUUCUUAUUUUUUUCAUAGAAGGAAAUUUUGCUCCUGCAUACAAAAGUUGACCUUGUGGUAACUCUUGGUGGGGAUGGAACAGUCCUUUGAGUUUGUGCAUUUACUUUUAGCUGUAUUGAAUGAAUUAGAACGUGUUAUAGAAUUAAAAUAUUAAUUUAGGGCACUUAACAAAAUGUAUUAACAUAGUAUAUGGUAAACGUGAAGCAUUAGUUUUCCAAUAUGGUAGUCAAAUAUAUUUGCAAUGCACUUUGAAAUUAGAUUGUUCCGUUUGGCGGCACUCCAUGUAUGUGUGGUAUUCAAUGUUAACACCAGGUAACUUACCCAAAAAAAAUGUAUAGCCUAGAUCAGUGGAUGGUUAACAUGUAUAGAAAACUAAGGAACCAUGAGAUUUUUCUAUAAUCUUGUAUUUAAAAUCUCUAGUGGUGCUUAAUAUUCAUAGAAGUAUACUUGUCAACUCUGAAGAGAAUACUGCAUUUUUUGGUUUUUCCUGAUUUUCUUUACUUUUUGGUUUUCCAGAUUUUACAACCAUUGCAAGUAAGCUUUUCUAAAUAUGAUCAUUUGUUCAUUAAUUAUCUCUAAGGUAAUAUGCAUAAUGCUUGUCUAAUUCAGUGGAAGAGUGGAUUUAUUCUUGGAAAUGAAGUCAAACCCUGGAAUCUGCAUCAACUGAAUUUCAUGCUAGACAAUGAUAUCUAUUUCAGAUUCUUUUGAUUUCGGACUGUACUUGGCAAUUAUUAUCAACGGAUUUUCAGGCAGCAUCCAUGUUCAAAGGACCAGUUCCUCCCAUCGUCCCAUUUUCUUUAGGGUCUCUUGGCUUUAUGACCCCUUUCCACUCUGAAAAUGCCUUGACUCUAUUUUUAAGGGUCCAAUUAGUAUCACAUUACGACACCGUUUGCAGUGUCAUGUUAUUAGGCUAAAAAUGAGUAUGAUACUGAAGAACCAAUACUUGUUUUGAAUGAGGUUACAAUUGAUCGUGGAAUAUCAUCAUACCUUACAAAUUUGGAAUGCUAUCGUGACAACUCCUUUGUCACUUCUGUCCAAGGGGAUGGGCUAAUUUUAUCUACAACCUCUGGCAGUACUGCAUAUUCAUUGGCGGCGGGGGAUCAAUGGUCCAUCCACAGG